rnacentral:rRNA from 1 species
AGGGUUUGAUUAUGGCUCAGGAUAAACGCUGGCGGCGUGCAUAACACAUUCAAGUCGAACGGAUUUAUCGGACAGCUUGCUGUUUGAGAAGAUUAGUGGCGGACGGGUGAGUAACGCGUGAGCAACCUGCCUUUGUGAGGGGAAUAACACAGGGAAACUUGUGCUAAUACCGCAUGACGCAUCGGAAAUGCAUGUUACUGAUGUUAAAGGAGCAAUCCGCACAAAGAUGGGCUCGCGUCUGAUUAGAUAGUUGGUGAGGUAACGGCUCACCAAGUCGACGAUCAGUAGCCGGACUGAGAGGUUGAACGGCCACAUUGGAACUGAGAAACGGUCCAG